rnacentral:rRNA from 1 species
UACGGAGGGUGCAGGCGUUAUCCGGAUUCACUGGGUUUAAAGGGUGCGUAGGUGGGCAGGUAAGUCAGUGGUGAAAUCUCCGGGCUUAACUCGGAAACUGCCAUUGAUACUAUCUGUCUUGAAUACCGUGGAGGUCAGCGGAAUAUGUCAUGUAGCGGUGAAAUGCUUAGAUAUGACAUAGAACACCAAUUGCGAAGGCAGCUGGCUACACGAAUAUUGACACUGAUGCACGAAAGCGUGGGGAUCAAACAGG